rnacentral:rRNA from 1 species
CAGGKGGKCCAUGGUKGUSUUCAGCUSGUKUCGKGAGAUGUGGGGUUAAGYCCCSSCAMSGASCGCAMCCCYUAUKGUWAKUKSCCAGCAUUCAGUUGGGCACUCUAAGGAGACUGCCGGUGACAAACCGGAGGAAGGUGGGGAUGACGUCAAAUCAUCAUGCCCCUAUGACYUGGGCUACACACGUCUACAAUGGAUGGUACAACAAGCAGCAAGACCGCGAGGUCAAGCGAAUCUCUUAAAGCCAUCUCAGUUCGGAUUGCAGGCUGCAACUCGCCUGCAUGAAGCCGGAAUCGCUAGUAAUCGCGGAUCAGCACGCCGCGGUGAAUACGUUCCCGGGUCUUGUACACACCGCCCGUCACACCACGAGAGUUUGUAACACCCGAAGUCGGUGAGGUAACCUUUUUGGAGCCAGCCGCCUAAGGUGGGACAGAUGAUUGGGGUGAAGUCGUAACAAGGUAACCAAGCC